rnacentral:rRNA from 1 species
UAGGGAAUCUUCGGCAAUGGACGAAAGUCUGACCGAGCAACGCCGCGUGAGUGAAGAAGGUUUUCGGAUCGUAAAACUCUGUUGUUAGAGAAGAACAAGGACGUUAGUAACUGAACGUCCCCUGACGGUAUCUAACCAGAAAGCCACGGCUAACUACGUGCCAGCAGCCGCGGUAAUACGUAGGUGGCAAGCGUUGUCCGGAUUUAUUGGGCGUAAAGCGAGCGCAGGCGGUUUCUUAAGUCUGAUGUGAAAGCCCCCGGCUCAACCGGGGAGGGUCAUUGGAAACUGGGAUACUUGAGUGCAGAGGAGGAGAGUGGAAUUCCAUGUGUAGCGGUGAAAUGCGUAGAUAUAUGGAGGAACACCAGUGGCGAAGGCGGCUCUCUGGUCUGUAACUGACGCUGAGGCUCGAAAGCGUGGGGAGCAAACAGG